rnacentral:rRNA from 1 species
GAUGAACGCUGGCGGCGUGCUUAACACAUGCAAGUCGAACGAGAAUCAACGGAUUGAGGAUUCGUCCAAAUGAAGUUGAGGAAAGUGGCGGACGGGUGAGUAACGCGUGAGGAACCUGCCUCAGAGUGGGGAAUAACAGUUAGAAAUGACUGCUAAUACCGCAUAAUGUAGCGAGAUCGCAUGAUUUUGCUACCAAAGAUUUAUCGCUCUGAGAUGGCCUCGCGUCUGAUUAGCUAGUUGGCGGGGUAACGGCCCACCAAGGCGACGAUCAGUAGCCGGACUGAGAGGUUGGCCGGCCACAUUGGGACUGAGACACGGCCCAGACUCCUACGGGGAGGAAGCAGUGGGGAAUAUUGGGCAAUGGGCGCAAGCCUGACCCAGCAACGCCGCGUGAAGGAAGAUGGCUUUCGGGUUGUAAACUUCUUAGAGAAGGGACGAAGUAAGUGACGGUACCUGACGAAUAAGCCACGGCUAACUACGUGCCAGCCGCCGCCGUAA